GACCCAUCACGACCCGUUUAGGUAGCUUAUUGUCACGGAGUAACUUCUGACUCACGUGUAGCGACUUAGACUUGAUCUAAGUUAAGCUUUUGUGCCCAACGAUGAUAAGGUUUUGUGGGAAUCAAGUGAUGAUUGCAAGUGUUGCUUACAAAGAAACAACUUAGUAUUGAUUACACGAUGUUUACAAAGGAGAGUUUACAAGUACAAGUGUGGUAACUUGUUAAGAUGUUGGGUUAUGUUUACGCAGCGGAAGUCUUUUGUGAGAAUCACAAGGACAAGUUUUGUAGUGCAAUACUACAACAAAGAUAGAGUUUUGAUUACUUGAACAAGGUUACAAGUGAGAGUGAUUACAACAAGUUGGGUUAUGAAUGAGUUAUGAGAGGUAAUGUGGGGUUUUGAUUAUGGAA